GCUGCGUGUGUUAUUGUGCUGAUAUCUUAUUUCUAAUUGUGUUGACAGCUGACUCCUGAAUUUUUUAUUUUUACCUUUUACGCCAUUUUUUCUAAAAGUGUGCACCAUCUUUUAGGUUAAAUACUUGCAUUUGGGCUGUUACAAAGCAAAUGCAAUCAGUAUCAACGGAAUUGAUCUUUGCAAUGCAGAGAAAACAGAAGCUGCAUCUGAAAUGCCAUUGUUUGUACACACUGUUUAAUGCAGCUCUGAGGGACAUGGAAUACUUUAACCUGCAGUUACAAAUGAAUAAAUUAUUUUAAAAAUGAAAAGGUACCUUAAAUGUGAAAUUAAAACCGCCAGUGGGUGGCAGCGAGUCACUGUUAAUAAGUGAGUCAUUGCGAUUGAACCGAAUAAUUUAAACGAUUGAUUCAUUCAGGAACGAAACACUAUCAUGUUGCUCAGAGAUGCAAAACAGUGGCUGUGUUUGGAAUGAUGUUUAUAUAAAUAGAGCAAAAACAGGGAAUAUGUUGUCUAAAACAUAAAUCUCUUGAUAUUAACUUCUUGUUUAUUGAACUGUUGUAUAAAAUCAAUAUCACAUUUGUAAUUUUGCUGACUUUUGGAGAAAAACGUCACUCUUCUUCGUGUGAUAGUAACUAUAUGGAAUUACAUAAAUUAUAUAGAUCUAUAAAUGUUCUGCCCCAUAUCUUGAAAAAUGUGAUAAUUCUAAAUUUCCAGUGAAAGAAUGCACUAUAAAUGCGUAUGCGCACUAGUCUAGACCAUAUGUGAGCGGAGUGGAGUGGCAACAAUUUCCCUCCGCGCUCCGAGCAUUUAAUAAUCCCUCCACUCCGCGCUCACUGAUACCAGAAACACCGCUCCGCCUUCGCUCCUUGGAUAAAGUAUUUCAGUAUGUUUGAAAUGUUAUGUUCACAACGUAGCCUAUAUAAAAAUAAAAUAAAUAAAAAAAUCACAGGAGAGUUUCCAAGUGGCUUAGGCUAUUUUGUGCAAACUUUUUUUCCUACCACACGCCAAACUAAUAACAUGGUUGUCACCAUUAAAAGGUAUAAUUGCUGCUUUCUGCUGUGCAAAUUUUGUUUGCGAUGAAGUACAUUUUCGUCAGUUUAUUUUAUCUACAGAUCGAUGCAUUUCUUACAGAUUUCUGCUCAUUCAAAAUCAGAUACAGAUGAAGUAGCACUGUAAGAUUACAUUUGUUUGAAUGCAUCAUUGCGAAAGCGAUUGCGUGUGAAUGUGCUGUAUCUGUUUAAAUCCCGCUUUAACCCGAAAAUAUUCAUUAAAAGAGACAGACAAAUUCUUUGAGGACUAUAACUUCCCGCUCGGC
rnacentral:lncRNA from 12 species